rnacentral:rRNA from 1 species
UUUCGCAAUGCCCGAAAGGGUGACGAAGCGACGCCGCGUGUGGGAAGAAGGCCCUCGGGUUGUAAACCACUGUCGGGAGUUAAGAAAGGUGUACGGGUAAAUAGUCCGUGCAUUUGACAAAAGCUCCGGAGGAAGCCACGGCUAACUCUGUGCCAGCAGCCGCGGUAAUACAGAGGUGGCAAGCGUUGUUCGGAAUUAUUGGGCGUAAAGAGCACGUAGGCGGCCCUGCAAGUCAGCUGUGAAAGCCUCCUGCUUAACGGGAGAAGUGCAGUUGAAACUACGGGGCUAGAGUGCGGAAGGGGAGAGUGGAACUUCUGGUGGAGCGGUGAAAUGCGUAGAUAUCAGAAGGAACACCGGCGGCGAAAGCGGCUCUCUGGUCCGUAACUGACGCUGAGGUGCGAAAGCCAGGGGAGCAAACGGGAUUAGAUACCCCGGUAGUCCUAGCCGUAAACGAUGGGCACUAAGUAGAGGGGUUUU